rnacentral:rRNA from 1 species
UGAGUAACCUGCCCUUCACUCUGGGAUAACUCCGGGAAACCGGGGCUAAUACUGGAUAUGACUCGAACAGGCAUCUGUUUCGGGUGGAAAGAUUUAUUGGUGGAGGGAUGGACUCGCGGCCUAUCAGCUUGUUGGUGAGGUAACGGCUCACCAAGGCUUCGACGGGUAGCCGGCCUGAGAGGGCGACCGGCACACUGGGACUGAGAUACGGCCCAGACUCCUACGGGAGGCA